GUUUAGCGGCGGACGGGUGAGUAACACGUGGGCAACCUGCCCUGCAGAUCGGGAUAACUCCGGGAAACCGGUGCUAAUACCGAAUAGUUUGUCCUCCCUCCUGGGAGGAUACGGAAAGACGGUUUCGGCUGUCACUGCAGGAUGGGCCCGCGGCGCAUUAGCUAGUUGGUGGGGUAACGGCCCACCAAGGCCACGAUGCGUAGCCGACCUGAGAGGGUGAUCGGCCACACUGGGACUGAGACACGGCCCAGACUCCUACGGGAGGCAGCAGUAGGGAAUCUUCCGCAAUGGACGCAAGUCUGACGGAGCAACGCCGCGUGAGUGAUGAAGGUUUUCGGAUCGUAAAACUCUGUUGCGAGGGAAGAAACCGUGCCAGCUAACUACUGGCACCUUGACGGUACCUCGCCAGAAAGCCACGGCUAACUACGUGCCAGCAGCCGCGGUAAUACGUAGGUGGCAAGCGUUGUCCGGAAUUA
rnacentral:rRNA from 1 species